rnacentral:rRNA from 1 species
UACGGAGGGUGCAAGCAUUAAUCGGAUUUAUUGGGCGUAAAGGGCGCGUAGGCGGAAAAAGUAAGUCUUGUGUGAAAUCCCGGGGGCUCAACCCCGGAACAGCACGGGAAACUACUUUUCUCGAGGGUAGGCGGAGAAAACGGAAUUCCACAAGUAGCGGUGAAAUGCGUAGAUAUGUGGAAGAACACCCGGUGGCGAAGGCGGUUUUCUAGCUUACUCCUGACGCUGAGGCGCGAAAGAGGGAUCGAA